rnacentral:rRNA from 1 species
UUGGAUGUUUGAGAAGGGCUGCUCCUAGUACGAGAGGACCGGAGUGGACGCACCUCUGGUGUUCCGGUUGUCACGCCAGUGGCAUUGCCGGGUAGCUAUGUGCGGACGGGAUAACCGCUGAAAGCAUCUAAGCGGGAAGCCCCCUUCAAGAUGAGACAUCCCAGAGGCCUAGAGCCUCCUGAAGGGCCCAGCGAGACCAGCUGGUUGAUAGGCACGGUGUGGAAGCGCUGCAAGGCGUUGAGCUAACGUGUACUAAUGGCCCGUGAGGCUUGACCCUA